rnacentral:tRNA from 1 species
AAGAAGGGUUAUGAAACUCAGAAAUUGCUAACUAUCUGAUCCCUUAGUUUAAAUCUAAGGCCUACUUAA